rnacentral:rRNA from 1 species
UACGAAGGGGGCUAGCGUUGCUCGGAAUUACUGGGCGUAAAGGGAGCGUAGGCGGACAUUUAAGUCAGAGGUGAAAUCCCGGAGCUUAACUUCGGAACUGCCUUUGAUACUGGAUGUCUUGAGUGUGAGAGAGGUAUGUGGAACUCCGAGUGUAGAGGUGAAAUUCGUAGAUAUUCGGAAGAACACCAGUGGCGAAGGCGACAUACUGGCUCAUUACUGACGCUGAGGCGCGAAAGCGUGGGGAGCAAACAGGAUUAGAUACCCCUGUAGUCC